rnacentral:misc_RNA from 1 species
UACGAAUGGGGCGAGCGUUGUUCGGAAUCACUGGGCUUAAAGCGUGCGUAGGCGGAUAUGAAAGUCAGAAGUGAAAUCCCAGGGCUUAACCUCGGAACUGCUUUUGAAACUUCAUAUCUAGAGUCCCGGAGAGGUUAACGGAAUUCCGAGUGUAGAGGUGAAAUUCGCAGAUAUUCGGAGGAACACCAGUGGCGAAGGCGGUUAACUGGACGGGUACUGACGCUGAGGUACGAAAGCGUGGGGAGCAAACAGG